UGGGGUCUAGCCAAGCGGUAAGGCACCGGAUUCUGAUUCCGGCAUUCCGAGGUUCGAAUCCUCGUACCCCAGCCA
rnacentral:tRNA from 1 species